UUAAGCCCUGGGCAAACCAGGAAACAUUGUUGCGGAAACAUUUGUGAUUCUCGAUGUUUCCUCAAAUGUUUCCCUGUUUGCCCACCCGUGGAAACAUUGUUGCAGAAACAAAAUUUGCUUCCCGAGAAGCAAAAAUGUUUCCUAGCAAAUUCAGAAACAUUUGAUGUUUCCCUAUGUUUCUCACUAAUGUUUCCUAGUGUUUGCCCACUCUGGGAAACAUGGCGAAACAUUGGCAGGAAACAAUGUUUCCGCAACAAUGUUUCCUAGUUUGCCCAGGGCUUUAGA